rnacentral:rRNA from 1 species
ACGGGGUGUCAGAUCUAUGGCGUUUCCCUAAUAAUUCCAGUUACAACCUCCUUUUGGCUGAAGGCUAUAUUGGAGGGUGACUGUGGAGUCGUGGCUCAAUGGUUAUGUUUGCGCGCGCUCUGCAUUGUCACCACUGUAUCUGUCAAACGUGAAAUGCUUUGUGCAUUUUACCUGACCUCGGAUCAGACGUGAAUACCCGCUGAACUUAAGCAUAUCACUAAGCGGAGGAAAAGAAACUAACAAGGAUUCCCUUAGUAACGGCGAGUGAACAGGGAAAAGCCCAGCACCGAAGCCUGUGGCCAUUUGGUCAUUAGGCAAUGUGGUGUUUAGGUCGUUCCACAGAGGUUCUGCUCCAUCCUAAGUCCAUCAAUGAGUACGGUAGUAUGGACAUGGCCCAUUGAGGGUGAAAGGCCCGUGGGGGUGGAGACAUCGAAAGGCCAGAGCCUCUCUGGGUAGACCUUGGAGUCGGGUUGUUUGUGAAUGCAGCCCAAAGCGGGUGGUAAACUCCAUCC